UGAGGAGUAAUUACUGCCUGGGCAAACCCGUGCAAAAACAGUCACGCUGGUCGCAUAUUUAUGUCCUGCCAUUUGUUAGAAACUUUCAAGCGUCUACUACUGUUACUUUAAAAAAGUCUACAUGGAAAUUCUAUCCCCACCCUAACCUGAACUUAAGCCUGCAGAUGAGGAUCAGGCUCCCCAGCCUCCCGGAACAAGCAGACAGUUAUUAAUGGAAAUGUUCCACCAGCUCAGGGACCUCAGCCAUAUACCUAAUAUGGACAGAGGAAAAAGAUAUGUUUCUCUCCUACAAUGGUUUAUCAUGAAUUAUCUUAGUAAGGGGAUGUACAAAGGUGAGUGCACAUGCAAAGUCAUAGAUGUGAACUUUCUUUUCUUCCUCUCCUCCUCCUCCCUUUCUCCUAGCUUUCCUCCUAUGCCUCUGUCUCUAACUGUAGAAGACCUUAUCCAUCACUGUAGCAGCAGCAGCAGCAGCAUGGUGCACAGGAAUGAGUGAUUUGGAGUCAGGGCUGCCUCUAGAUUUCUGUGGUGCUUUGCCACUCAGUGGUUAUGUAAAAACAGAGCAGGUGACACCCUCCCUGAGCCUCAAUUCUCUUAGGUGUGGGUGGGAUCUAGCAGCACCUGUCCUGCCUCCCUGACCCAACCUUUCAGUUCAUAGGUGAGAAAACAAGGCCCAGAGAGGCACCUGGCUUGGUCUCAUGGCUAAGAUCCUGCAGGGCUAAGACGAGACCCUGGCUCUUGCAUUUAACCCCUGCAGUCACAGCGAUCCAGGAGCUGUUAGACACUUGGGAUCCAGGACUGUGCUGGCUGCUGGAGGAGAGUGGAGGAGAGGUGUGGGGUAGGGAGGGCACAAGCUCUGGUGUAAUCCACAAAACAAGAAGACACUUUCUCUGCUGUUGAGGAGCAGGUUGGUCCUCUUCACCCCUCCCUCAGGAGUAAUUGAACUGCUUGACAGGUUCAUCUUGCCCACUGCCCAGAUAGAGCCAAUUGAUCAAGACAGAGGAAUUGCAAUAGAGAAAGAAUUUAAUACACAUAGAGCCGGC
rnacentral:lncRNA from 1 species